rnacentral:rRNA from 1 species
GCGGCAGGCCUAACACAUGCAAGUCGAACGCCCUAGCAAUAGGGAGUGGCAGACGGGUGAGUAACACGUGGGAACCUUCCCUAUAGUACGGAAUAGCCCAGGGAAACUUGGAGUAAUACCGUAUACGCCCGUGAGGGGAAAGAUUUAUCGCUAUAGGAUGGGCCCGCGUAGGAUUAGCUAGUUGGUGAGGUAAUGGCUCACCAAGGCGACGAUCCUUAGCUGGUUUGAGAGAACGACCAGCCACACUGGGACUGAGACACGGCCCAGACUCCUACGGGAGGCAGCAGUGGGGAAUAUUGGACAAUGGGCGCAAGCCUGAUCCAGCCAUGCCGCGUGAGUGAUGAAGGCCUUAGGGUUGUAAAGCUCUUUUAGCAGGGAAGAUAAUGACUGUACCUGCAGAAUAAGCUCCGGCUAACUUCGUGCCA